rnacentral:rRNA from 1 species
AUUGAACGCUGGCGGCAGGCCUAACACAUGCAAGUCGAACGAGUGGCGGACGGGUGAGUACUGUCUGGGAAACUGCCUGAUGGCGGGGGAUAACUACUGGAAACGGUAGCUAAUACCGCAUACCAUCAGAUGUGCCCAGAUGGGAGUAGCUAGUUGGUGGGGUAACGGCUCACCAAGGCGACGAUCCCUAGCUGGUCUGAGAGGAUGACCAGCCACACUGGAACUGAGACCAGGUCCCAACUCCUACUGGAGGCAGCAGUGGGGAAUAUUGCACAAUGAGCGCAAGCCUGAUGCAGCCAUGCCGCGAGUAUGAAGAAGGCCGUCGGGUUGUAAAGUACUUGCAGCGGGGAGGCGUUACCCGCAGAAGAAGCACCGGCUAACUCCGUGCCAGCAGCCGCGGUAAUAC